GGUUUCAUGCAGAAACCCCUUAAGAAUUGCUCUGUGCUCAGCAAAUUAGCAAUACAACAAUAUUAAUAUCUAUUUGAAAUUAACUUUCCUCUGAAUUCCUUUCACUACAACUCUCUGGUCUGUAAAUCUUCAUUCUGUUUUGACCGCCGUACAGAAACUGUGAUUUGAUAUCUCAUUCAUAGCCCAGCUGUGCAUGAACCCUGUUUAGUGCAAAGCUUUGCAAAAAGGAAAAAAAAUAUCUUAUUUGACCAUGAACUUUAGAUGAUCUAGUUAGCGUUACUGUCAAGCGUCCCGCGGUCUUUUUGAAAAGCAGGACUUGUCCAUGUUGCCCUCUGGCCAACUUCAGUGGGAUUGAAGCACUAGCGAGAGCCAUCAAACUGCCUGACAGCUUGUCACCAGUGAGACUCCAUUAAUUUACACACAUUUUCCACUGUUUGGCAUUUACCAUGAUAACUCUUUUCUUUCCAAGCAGCUCCUGUUUGCAUUUAACACUCGGGUUAAUUUUCAUCAGAGUUUAAAUUUAGCCAUCAGUUAUUUCAGGGGAGCUGUCAGCCAACAUAUGGAGGAAAAAAAUCCUUCUGAAUUUAUAAUAAAGUGGAAUCUGUUGAAUGUGAAACAAAAAGCAACUGCAAUAUACUGCAAGGCCCCGAUGGGGGGACCAGGGUCAGCAAAGAAUAGCAGAGUGGAUUAGUUGUUCUAUUCACCGGAGUGGCAUCUGAGCACCUCAGGAGCUUCUUGAUAUAUCAAAAAAUGAUGGAAAGACACAGUUCAAUUUGUCCCCCUUUUAUAAAGGAUAAUUAACCUGUCAGUCUUGCUACUUUAACAACUUCAUUAAAUUGGAGCAGAAAUGGGUGCAGGGAGCCCCUGUCUUUUUCCAAAAUGAGCACAGGGCACUUGUUUAAAUGGUUGAAUAGCCACCUUCUUCCAUCUUCCUCCCCCCUAGAAUAAUAUGAUGUUAUUUUAUUUUUUUUUUUACUGGAAUUGAACACCCUUCCUUAAAAUAUAUAACUGAGCUGCCUUUCGUAUGGCCAAGACUAGGAAUCGCCUUAACUCCAAAGGAUGAAAAUAAUCAGGCAUGCAAACAAGCUGCAUCAAUUAAAGAUGGAGCUUACAGGGUUGCUAUAACACUUCUAGCUCACUGUGAUGCUUCUCAAAGAGUCCUUCCCCACUCAGGCUGCAAGUUUCCAAGCUCCUUCCCAAAACAAGUUGCCUCUGACGAUCUAUCCACAGAAACUCAAUCAAAUGUGACUGAGUUAUAAACCAGCAAGUUCAACACACAGAAUUGAAGAGGUACUCAAGACCUAAAAAACUAUCCAAUCCAUCCUUCUACCAUCACAGCAGCAAACUUAAAAAUGUUUUCUCCUGAAUGGUUUUAAAAGAGCUAUGAUUUCCAUCACUUCGCUUUUUGCAUACUUACACUAAACUUUCUCCCUCUUAAUCGUUCCCUGCAGUAUUUACACCAACUUUAUCACACUAGCAGGCUUUAAUCCCUUUUUCUUUCCCUGACUUUGGUUGCUGUUCUUGGCUUCUACUUGAAAGGAAUCAAGAGGAUGAGACCAGUGAUGUUUGACUUUGACUAGUCAAGGUCUGAGAAAUGUGUAAUCCUGGAAGAGACUGCAAGGGAGGGAAGAAAAGGGUUACUUUGGGCUUGCAAUGUCAAAAAAAAAGCACCAGUUAUCCUGUAUUUUUGUUAGGACCACAUCUUGUCAGCCACAAUUUUAGUUCAGAUUGCUCUGGACUGUCCUGUAACUUGAAUGAGAUUUAUUUUCUCUUCCAUUGAACAAUUACUCACAGUUUGAACUGGGAAAAGUGUUGAAGAGGAACUUGCCGUAGGAUGAUCUGAAUUCAAAAGAAAUACUUGUUCACCAAGUGCCAGGACAGACUACCAGAUUGUCUUCAAAAUAUAGCCUGGAUUGGUUUUUGAAUAAGAUAUGAUCCUCUUCAUUAUCUGA